GUGGGUUUUAAAGCAUAGGAAGGAUAUCAACAGAGCAAGCAGAAGAGAGCAUCUGUCUUCUGGCCAGAGGGAGCAGAGGCCGGGAGACAAGAAUUCUCAGGGAAUGCCCAGACCACAGUUCUAAGGGAUGUGCAUCUGAGAAGCAGAUGAUGGACUUCCCUGGUGGUCCAGUGGAAACUGGCAUCCAGACCCCAAGGUGAUUUUGAGACACUAGUCUACCAUCUUCUCUGCCAGCUUUCCGAAUGAAGUCACUAUUCUUUGCCUCAACACCUGUCUCCUGUCUUACUGGCUUGGCAUGGGGCAAGCAGAGCAAGCUUGGAUUCGGUACCAACAACAAAGAUACACACUCCUUUGGUUCAAGGUGGAUCCUCAUGUUUCUAACCUGUUCCCAUCUUGUGUCUUUGAAUCUGUGAGCGACCCUUUAAAUAGAAAAGACUUAAAGCAUUAGACCAUAUCGUAUGUAUUUUAAUAAUAAUUAU
ensembl:lncRNA